UAAAAAGAUAUUAAGGGCCAUAGGUGGAUGCCUUGGCUAGUAGAGGCGAUGAAAGACGUACUAGGCUGCGAUAAGCCUCGGGGAGCUGCCAAGAAGCUUUGAUCCGGGGAUUUCUGAAUGGGGCAACCCAACAUGGUGCGAAUCAUGUUACCCUGCGGGGAGCGAACCUUGGGAAGUGAAACAUCUCAGUACCAAGAGGAAAAGAAAUCAAUUGAGAUUCCCAGAGUAGCGGCGAGCGAAAUGGGAUUAGGGCUGUUAGUGAUAAUAUAUUUGUUAGGUGAACAAUCUGGAAAGUUUGAACAUAGAGGGUGAUAUUCCCGUAACUAAAAACAUUUAUAUGGUACUAGAUUAACGAACGAGUAGGUCGGGACACGUGUUAUCUUGACUGAAUAUGGGGGGACCACCCUCCAACCCUAAAUACUACUACUAGACCGAUAGCGAACAAGUACCGUGAGGGAAAGGUGAAAAGGACCGCGGUGAGCGGAGUGAAAUAGAACCUGAAACCUAUGGCUUACAAUCAUUUGGAGCGGUAUGCUUUAUGCACCGUGACAGACUGCCUUUUGCAUAAUGAGCCUGCGAGUUGUGGUAUCUGGCAAGGUUAACCGAACGGGUAGCCGUAGCGAAAGCGAGUCUUAAUAGGGCGCUGUUCUUCGGAACACAAGUCAGAUGCUGCAGACCCGAAACUAAGUGAUCUAUCCAUGAGCAGGUUGAAACUGGUGUAAGAGCCAGCGGAGGACCGAACCCGUAGGCGUUGAAAAGUCUUGGGAUGACUUGUGGAUAGGGGUGAAAGGCCAAUCAAACUUAGUGAUAGCUGGUUCUCUCCGAAAUAUAUUUAGGUAUAGCCUCGAGCAUUAGCGUAUAGGGGUAGAGCACUGACAGGGCUAGGGCUGCUUACCGCGGUACCAAACCCUAUCAAACUCCGAAUACUAUACGUGCAACCUCGGGAGUCAGGCGUAGGGUGAUAAAAUCCUAUGUCGAGAGGGGAACAACCCAGACUAACAGCUAAGGUCCCAAAGUUUUAUCUAAGUGGAAAAGGAUGUGGAGUUGCUGUAACAACCAGGAGGUUGGCUUAGAAGCAGCCAUCCUUUAAAGAAAGCGUAACAGCUCACUGGUCUAGCGAUUCUGCGCCGAAAAUAUAUCGGGGCUAAGAUAAACACCGAAGCUUUAGGUUAGAGCACAUCAUUAAGUUCUUAUAGUAGAGAUAUUCAAGAGAUAUAGUUAAAACUUUUUUUACUUUCGUAAAAAACGUUUUAAAAUGCCUCAGGGGAUAAGAGAGAUACUUAGGAUUUAGUGAUGUGCUCUAGCGGUAGGAGAGCGUUCCAUUCAGCGUUGAAGGUAUACCGGCAAGGAGUACUGGAGCGGAUGGAAGUGAGCAUGCAGGCAUGAGUAGCGAGAAAAGGGAUGAGAAUUCCCUUCGCCGUAAACCCAAGGUUUCCUACGCGAUGCUCGUCAUCGUAGGGUUAGUCGGGACCUAAGUCGAGUCCGAAAGGGGUAGACGAUGGCAAAUCGGUUAAUAUUCCGAUACCGACAUUACAUCAUUUGAGUGAUGGGGGGACGCAUAGAGUUAAAGGGGCUCGCUGAUGGAAUAGCGGGUCGAAGGACGUAGGUCGCAAGGUAGGAAAAUCCGCCUUGCAUGAGACCGAGAUCUUACAGGCAGUUCAAUCUCUUCGGAGAGCGGACUGAACCCUUGAUACUGUCGUGCCGAGAAAAGCCUCUAAACGAGAUGUAAUGUUGCCCGUACCGUAAACCAACACAGGUGGGUGAGAUGAGUAUUCUAAGGCGCGUGGAUGAACCCUGGUUAAGGAACUCUGCAAACUAGCACCGUAUCUUCGGUAUAAGGUGUGCCCUAUUUGUUAGAAGAUUUACUCUUUGAAGCAUUGAUGGGUGGCAGCAAAGUGUCCCUCCCGACUGUUUACCAAAAACACAGCACUCUGCUAACUCGUAAGAGGAUGUAUAGGGUGUGACGCCUGCCCGGUGCUCGAAGGUUAAAAGGAUUGCUUAGCUUAGGCGAAGGCAUGAAUUGAAGCCCGAGUAAACGGCGGCCGUAACUAUAACGGUCCUAAGGUAGCGAAAUUCCUUGUCGGUUAAAUACCGACCUGCAUGAAUGGCGUAACGAGAUGGGAGCUGUCUCAACCAGGGAUCCAGUGAAAUUGUAGUGGAGGUGAAAAUUCCUCCUACCCGCGGAAAGACGGAAAGACCCCGUGCACCUUUACUAUAGCUUGACACUGCUAUUGGGAUAUUCAUGUGCAGGAUAGGUGGGAGUCAUUGAUACUAGGACGCAAGUACUAGAGGAGACAUCCUUGAGAUACCACCCUUGAAUAUUCUGAUAGCUAACUCCGUAUGAUUAUCUCAUGCGAGGACAAUGUCUGGUGGGUAGUUUGACUGGGGCGGUCGCCUCCUAAAAAGUAACGGAGGCUUACAAAGGUUCGUUCAGAGGGGUUGGAAAUCCCUCGUAGAGUAUAAUGGCAUAAACGAGCCUGACUGUGAGACAUACAAGUCGAGCAGAGUCGAAAGACGGUCAUAGUGAUCCGGUGGUUCUGUGUGGAAGGGCCAUCGCUCAAAGGAUAAAAGGUACGCCGGGGAUAACAGGCUGAUCUCCCCCAAGAGCUCACAUCGACGGGGAGGUUUGGCACCUCGAUGUCGGCUCAUCGCAUCCUGGGGCUGGAGCAGGUCCCAAGGGUAUGGCUGUUCGCCAUUUAAAGCGGUACGCGAGCUGGGUUCAGAACGUCGUGAGACAGUUCGGUCCCUAUCUUCCGUGGGCGUAGGAGAGUUGAAGAGAGCUGACCCUAGUACGAGAGGACCGGGUUGGACGUGCCACUGGUGCACCAGUUGUUCUGCCAAGAGCAUCGCUGGGUAGCUACGCACGGAUGAGAUAACCGCUGAAAGCAUCUAAGCGGGAAGCCAACUCUAAGAUGAACUCUCCCUGAAGUACGCUUGAAGACUACAAGCUUGAUAGGCUGGAUGUGUACGCACGGCAACGUGUUUAGCUGACCAGUACUAAUAGUACGUUUGUCUUUUUACC
rfam:Sulfurimonas sp. AST-10 Contig24, whole genome shotgun sequence.